AUUGAACGCUGGCGGCAGGCCUAACACAUGCAAGUCGAGCGGAUGAAGGGAGCUUGCUCCUGGAUUCAGCGGCGGACGGGUGAGUAAUGCCUAGGAAUCUGCCUGGUAGUGGGGGAUAACGUCCGGAAACGGGCGCUAAUACCGCAUACGUCCUGAGGGAGAAAGUGGGGGAUCUUCGGACCUCACGCUAUCAGAUGAGCCUAGGUCGGAUUAGCUAGUUGGUGGGGUAAAGGCCUACCAAGGCGACGAUCCGUAACUGGUCUGAGAGGAUGAUCAGUCAACAGGGAACUGAAAACCGGUCCAGACCCCCACGGGGGGCAGCAGUGGGGAAUUUUGGACAAUGGGCGAAAGCCUGAUCCAGCCAUGCCGGGUGGGUGAAGAAGGUUUUCGGUUUGUAAAGCCCUUUAAGUUGGGAGGAAGGGCAGUAAGUUAAUCCCUUGCUUUUUUGACGUUACCAACAAAAUAAGCACCGGCUAACUUCGU
rnacentral:rRNA from 1 species